rnacentral:tRNA from 1 species
GGCUCGGUGGUGAAGCGGUUAACACGUCGGACUUUCUAUCCGAUACGCGCGGGUUCGAAUCCCGUCCGAGUCA